rnacentral:sRNA from 1 species
GGCGCGGUACCGGACUGAGCGAAGCGAGGGAGGAUAAGGAGCGCCCCUUCGUGC